rnacentral:rRNA from 1 species
CACUAGCCAAUGACGGGUAUGGGCCUUGAGAGAGGGAGCCCAGAGAUGGAUUCUGAGACACGAAUCCAGGCCCUACGGGGCGCAGCAGUCGCGAAAACUUCACAAUGGGGGCAACCCCGAUGAGGGAAUUCCUAGUGCUAGCACAUUAGUGUUAGCUUUUCUUUAGCGUAGAUAACUAGAGGAAUAAGGGCUGGGUAAGACGGGUGCCAGCCGCCGCGGUAAUACCCGCAGCCCAAGUGGUGGUCGAUUUUAUUGAGUCUAAAACGUUCGUAGCCGGUUUGAUAAAUCUUUGGGUAAAUCGGAAAGCUUAACUUUCCGACUUCCGAGGAGACUGUCAAACUUGGGACCGGGAGAGGCAAGAGGUACUUGGGGGGUAGGGGUAAAAUCCUGUAAUCCUUCAAGGACCACCGGUGGCGAAGGCGUCUUGCUAGAACGGAUCCGACGGUGAGGGACGAAGCCCUGGGUCGCAAACGGGAUUAGAUACCCCGGUAGUCCAGGGUGUAAACGCUGCAGACUUGGUGUUGGGGACCCUUUGGGGGUGUUCAGUGCCGGAGGGAAGUUGUUAAGUCUGCUACUUGGGGAGUACGUCCGCAAGGAUGAAACUUAAAGGAAUUGGCGGGGGAGCACCGCAACGGGAGGA